rnacentral:rRNA from 1 species
AUUGAACGCUGGCGGCAUGCCUAACACAUGCAAGUCGAACGGCAGCACAAUAAAGAUUUCGGUCUUUAUGGGUGGCGAGUGGCGGACGGGUGAGUAACGCGUAGGAAUCUGUCCUGGAGAGUGGGAUAACCCGAGGAAACUCGGGCUAAUACUGCAUGACAUUGAGAGAUCAAAAGCAGGGGACCGAAAGGCCUUGCGCUCUGGGGUGAGGCUACGUCGGAUUAGCUAGUUGGUGGGGUAAAGGCCUACCAAGGCGACGAUCCGUAGCUGGUCUGAGAGGAUGACCAGCCACACUGGGACUGAGACACGGCCCAGACUCCUACGGGAGGCAGCAGUGGGGAAUCUUGGACAAUGGGGGAAACCCUGAUCCAGCGAUGCCGCGUGUGUGAAGAAGGCCUUCGGGUUGUAAAGCACUUUAGGUGGGGAAGAAAGGUAGCGAGUGAAUAACUUUCUGCUGUGACGGUACCCACAGAAUAAGCACCGGCUAACUCUGUGCCAGCAGCCGCCGCCG